rnacentral:rRNA from 1 species
AUGGAGAGCCCCGUGAAGGAGGAGGUCGGCGGGGAGCUGGCGAUGGAGAUCGAGUCGAGCGUCACGGCCGAGGACUGGCGCCGCGCGCUCUCCCGCGUCGUGCCCGCCGUCGCCGUCCUCCGCACCACCGCGCCGCGCGCCUUCGACACCGAGGUCGCCGGCGCCAGCUACGCCACCGGCUUCGUCGUCGACAAGGCCCGCGGCAUCAUCCUCACCAACCGCCACGUCGUCAAGCCCGGUCCUGUGGUCUCGGAGGCGAUGUUCGUGAACCGGGAGGAGAUCCCUGUGUACCCCCUGUACAGAGACCCUGUACAUGAUUUUGGUUUUUUUCGCUAUGAUCCAGGUGCCAUAAAGUUCCUCAAGUAUGAGGAGAUCCCUCUAGACCCUGAAGCAGCAUCUGUUGGGCUAGAAAUCCGAGUUGUCGGCAAUGACAGCGGCGAAAAGGUUUCAAUUUUGGCGGGAACACUUGCUCGACUUGAUAGAGAAGCGCCUCACUACAAGAAGGACGGGUACAAUGAUUUCAACACAUUCUAUAUGCAGGCCGCAUCUGGAACUAAAGGUGGCUCUAGUGGUUCCCCAGUUGUUGAUUGCCAAGGAAGAGCUGUUGCGCUGAAUGCUGGAAGCAAAUCUUCCAGUGCUUCUGCUUUUUUCCUUCCAUUAGAACGUGUGGUUAGGGCACUGAAUUUGAUACGUGAUUGUUGGGAUGCAUUUGGUAUCAAGUCAGAAUCUGUUUAUAUUCCUCGUGGUACACUGCAGAUGACCUUUCAACACAAAGGAUUCGAAGAAACUCGACGUCUUGGACUGAGGAAUGAAACAGAGCAGAUGGUACGCCUUGUUUCUCCAGCAGGCGAAACUGGAAUGCUGGUUGUUGACUCUGUGGUGCCAGAAGGACCUGCACAUAAACAUUUGGAACCUGGUGAUGUGCUAGUUCACAUCAAUGGGGAGAUUUGUCUCAAAAGGUAUAUUCAUAAGAGAGGUCGGGUAGACCAAACUUGGGAGGAGUCCGUUAAGAGAGAUCUAAAGGACUGGAAUAUCACCAAAGAACUAGCCAUGGACAGGGGUGUGUGGAAGGUUGUAACCCAGUUUCUCGCAAUGGAGACUUUACUUGAUGACAGCGUUGGCAAGGAGGUAAAUUUGCAGAUUGAAAGAGGUGGAGUGCCUUUGACAGUAAAGUUAGAGGUUGAAGAUUUGCACUCUAUAACUCCAAAUCAUUUCUUGGAAGUCAGUGGUGCUGUCAUCCAUCCACUUUCAUACCAGCAGGCUAGAAACUUCCGGUUCAAAUGUGGUCUUGUAUAUGUUGCUGAAGCAGGGUACAUGCUCUCUCGGGCAUCGGUUCCACGCCAUUCAAUUAUCAAAAAGUUUGCGGGAGAGGAUAUUGAAAAUUUAGAUGACCUUAUUGCAGUUAUUUCAAAGCUGUCUAGGGGAGCACGAGUGCCUCUUGAAUAUGUAAAGUACACUGACCGUUAUCGGAACAAGUCUGUACUGGUGACAAUUGAUCAACAUGGUUGGUAUGCGCCUCCUCAGUUAUACACUCGAAAUGACGCAACUGGUCUUUGGAAUGCAAAAUUGGCUAUACCACUCGAAUCUCCCUUUGUAGUUUCCCAUCGUGCUGGCCAUAUGGAUGCAAACUCAAAUUCUGUUUCACCGUUGACUGAAUCAAGUCCUAUGGAUCUCAAAUGCCAGCACGAGUCUGAAAAUACGGCAGAUGGAUGCGUAAAAAUGCAAACAGAUGAGGAGAUUGCCAUAGAUGGAUCCCACUCUGGCGAAGAUUCCAUCCUUGAGAAAAAAAGGCGCCGGGUGGAUGAGGAGAUAGCUGCUGAGGGAACUAUAUCAUCUUUUGGAGAUUUAGAUGACAUGAAAGAUGGCGCAUUGAGGCAUCCUUCCAGUGUGGAAGGCUCCGACCUUGCUCGGACAAUAUCAAGUAAUGCUUCAUUGGCAGAACAAGUAAUUGAGCCAGCUCUUGUAAUGUUUGAGGUGCAUGUGCCACCAAUAUGCAUGCUUGAUGGAGUGCAUUCUCAACAUUUCUUUGGAACCGGUGUGAUAAUAUAUCAUUCUGACUGUCUAGGUCUGGUUGCCGUCGAUAGGAAUACAGUUGCUGUAUCUAUCUCUGAUAUAAUGCUCUCUUUUGCUGCAUAUCCCAUUGAAAUACCUGCAGAGGUUGUUUUUCUGCAUCCUGUUCAUAAUUUUGCACUGGUUGCCUAUGAUCCUUCUGCACUGGGAGCUGGAGCAUCUGUUAUUCGGGCUGCUAAGCUUCUUCCUGAGCCUGCCUUGCGCCGAGGAGAUUCUGUCUACCUAGUUGGGCUAAGUAGAAGCUUACAAGCUACAUCAAGGAAAUCAACCAUAACCAAUCCUUGCACAGCUGUUAAUAUUGGCUCAGCUGACUGCCCACGAUAUCGUGCAAUAAAUAUGGAGGUCAUUGAGCUUGAUACUGAUUUCGGCAGCUCAUUUUCGGGUAUAUUGACGGAUGAGCAAGGAAGAGUUCAAGCGUUAUGGGCAAGCUUUUCCACCCAGCUCAAAUAUGGUUGUAGCAGUUCAGAGGACCAUCAAUUCGUUAGAGGUAUACCAAUAUAUGCAAUAAGUCAAGUCCUUGAGAAGAUAAUCUCGGGUACUCCUGGACCAUUUCGUCUUAUCAAUGGAAUUCGAAGGCCGAUGCCACUUGUCAGACUUCUGGAGGUGGAACUUUAUCCAACUUUGCUUUCGAAAGCAAGAAGUUAUGGAUUGAGCGAUAACUGGGUGCAGGCUCUCGCUAAGAAGGACCCUGUGCGCAGACAAGUCUUGCGGGUCAAAGGUUGUUUGGCUGGAUCAAAAGCGGAAAAGCUUCUGGAACAAGGAGACAUGAUUCUAGCUAUCAACAAGGAACCAAUAACAUGCUUUCUUGACAUUGAGAAUGCUUGCCAAAAGUUGGACCAAUCUAUCGAUUCAGAUGGCCUGCUUAACAUGACAAUAUUUCGUCAGGGAAAAGAAAUUGACCUUAUUGUUGGAACCGAUGUAAGAGAUGGUAAUGGUUCAACAAGGAUGGUGAAUUGGUGUGGAUCCAUAAUUCAGGAUCCUCAUUCAGCAGUGCGUGCACUUGGCUUUUUGCCCGAGGAAGGUCAUGGAGUUUAUGUUGCUAGAUGGUGCCAUGGAAGUCCCGUACAUAGAUAUGGCCUUUAUGCUCUCCAGUGGAUAGUUGAAGUUAACGGGCAACCAACUCCAGAUUUGGAGUCCUUUAUUCAAGUGGUGAAGGGAUUGGAAGAUCGUGAGUUCGUCAGGGUGAAGACCGUCCAUUUGAACGGAAAACCACGCGUGCUCACUCUGAAACAGGACCUCCACUACUGGCCAACCUGGGAGCUCACUUUUGAACCGGAGACUGACACAUGGAAGAGGAGAACAAUAAAGGCGUUGCAGCCAACCGGGGCUUGA